rnacentral:rRNA from 1 species
AAUAGAUACCCAGGUAGUCCACGCCGUAAACGAUGAGUGCUAAGUGUUGGAGGGUUUCCACCCUUCAGUGCUGCAGCUAACGCAUUAAGCACUCCGCCUGGGGAGUACGGUCGCAAGACUGAAACUCAAAGGAAUUGACGGGGGCCCGCACAAGCGGUGGAGCAUGUGGUUUAAUUCGAAGCAACGCGAAGAACCUUACCAGGUCUUGACAUCUCCUGACCGCCCUGGAGACAGGGUCUUCCCUUCGGGGACAGGAUGACAGGUGGUGCAUGGUUGUCGUCAGCUCGUGUCGUGAGAUGUUGGGUUAAGUCCCGCAACGAGCGCAACCCUUGGUUCUAGUUGCCAGCAUUCAGUUGGGCACUCUAGAGCGACUGCCGGCGACAAGUCGGAGGAAGGUGGGGAUGACGUCAAAUCAUCAUGCCCCUUAUGACCUGGGCUACACACGUGCUACAAUGGAUGGUACAAAGGGCAGCGAAGCGGCGACGCAUAAGCGAAUCCCAGAAAACCAUUCUCAGUUCGGAUUG